GGUACCGUAGUGUAGGGGUUAUCACGUUCGCCUAAAACACGCAAAAGGUCCUCCGUUUCGAGACCGGGCGGGAACA
rnacentral:tRNA from 1 species